AGCGGCGGAACGGGUGAGUAACACGUGGGUAACCUGCCUGUAAGACUGGGAUAACUCCGGGAAACCGGAGCUAAUACCGGAUAGUUCCUUGAACCGCAUGGUUCAAGGAUGAAAGACGGUUUCGGCUGUCACUUACAGAUGGACCCGCGGCGCAUUAGCUAGUUGGUGGGGUAAUGGCUCACCAAGGCGACGAUGCGUAGCCGACCUGAGAGGGUGAUCGGCCACACUGGGACUGAGACACGGCCCAGACUCCUACGGGAGGCAGCAGUAGGGAAUCUUCCGCAAUGGACGAAAGUCUGACGGAGCAACGCCGCGUGAGUGAUGAAGGUUUUCGGAUCGUAAAGCUCUGUUGUUAGGGAAGAACAAGUGCGAGAGUAACUGCUCGCACCUUGACGGUACCUAACCAGAAAGCCACGGGCUAACUACGUGCCAGCAGCCGCGGUAAUACGUAGGUGGCAAGCGUUGUCCGGAAUUAUUGGGCGUAAAGGGCUCGCAGGCGGUUUCUUAAGUCUGAUGUGAAAGCCCCCGGCUCAACCGGGGAGGGUCAUUGGAAACUGGGAAACUUGAGUGCAGAAGAGGAGAGUGGAAUUCCACGUGUAGCGGUGAAAUGCGUAGAGAUGUGGAGGAACACCAGUGGCGAAGGCGACUCUCUGGUCUGUAACUGACGCUGAGGAGCGAAAGCGUGGGGAGCGAACAGGAUUAGAUACCCUGGUAGUCCACGCCGUAAACGAUGAGUGCUAAGUGUUAGGGGGUUUCCGCCCCUUAGUGCUGCAGCUAACGCAUUAAGCA
rnacentral:rRNA from 1 species